rnacentral:rRNA from 1 species
GCAAGUCGAGCGCGCCUUCGGGCGAGCGGCGGACGGGUUAGUAACGCGUGGGAACGUGCCCAGAUCUACGGAAUAGCCACUGGAAACGGUGAGUAAUACCGUAUACGCCCUUCGGGGGAAAGAUUUAUCGGAUUUGGAUCGGCCCGCGUUAGAUUAGGUAGUUGGUGGGGUAACGGCCUACCAAGCCUACGAUCUAUAGCUGGUUUUAGAGGAUGAUCAGCAACACUGGGACUGAGACACGGCCCAGACUCCUACGGGAGGCAGCAGUGGGGAAUCUUGGACAAUGGGGGCAACCCUGAUCCAGCCAUGCCGCGUGAGUGAAGAAGGCCCUAGGGUCGUAAAACUCUUUCGCCUGUGAUGAUAAUGACAGUAGCAGGUAAAGAAACCCCGGCUAACUCCGUGCCAGCAGCCGCGGUAAUACGGAGGGGGUUAGCGUUGUUCGGAAUUACUGGGCGUAAAGCGCACGUAGGCGGAUUAGAAAGUUAGAGGUGAAAUCCCGGGGCUCAACCCCGGAACUGCCUUUAAAACUACUAGUCUAGAGUUCGAGAGAGGUGAGUGGAAUUCCGAGUGUAGAGGUGAAAUUCGUAGAUAUUCCGAGGAACACCAGUGGCGAAGGCGGCUCACUGGCUCGAUACUGACGCUGAGGU